rnacentral:lncRNA from 1 species
UAUAAUCAAAGAUUAAAUUAUUAUCUUGAUUAUGAUCAAGCAUGGGUUUUUGGUUUGGUUCAAGUCAGGUCAAUGGUUGAAUCCGAUUGAACAUCCAAACUCUUGUAUGUCUUAGAGAUAUAUUUUAAAUAUAAAAUACAUGAUGCAUAUAUAGAAUCUUUCUUAGUAGCUUAGUACUCUAAUUGGGGUUCAUCACUAGGCC